rnacentral:rRNA from 1 species
AGUGAACGCUGGCGGUAGGCCUAACACAUGCAAGUCGAACGGCAGCACAGUAAGAGCUUGCUCUUACGGGUGGCGAGUGGCGGACGAGUGCGGAAUACAUCGGAAUCUACUUUUUCGUAGGGGAUAACGUAGGGACACUUACGCUAAUACCGCAUACGACCUACGGGUGAAAGCAGGGGAUCUUCGGACCUUGCGCGAUUGAAUGAGCCGAUGUCGGAUUAACUAGUUGGCGGGGUAAAGGCCCACCAAGGCGACGAUCCGUAGCUGGUCUGAGAGGAUGAUCAGCCACACUGGAACUGAGACACGGUCCAGACUCCUACGGGAGGCAGCAGUGGGGAAUAUUGGACAAUGGGCGAAAGCCUGAUCCAGCCAUACCGCGUGGGUGAAGAAGGCCUUCGGGUUGUAAAGCCCUUUUGUUGGGAAAGAAAAGCAGCAGGUUAAUACCCCGCUGUUCUGACGGUACCAAAAGAAUAAGCACCGGCUAACUUCGUG